UAACUCAUUAGAAAGAUGUGCCCACUUUGU
rnacentral:piRNA from 1 species